CCAUUGCACUUAUCGGGAAGGGUGAGAAUCUUCGACCAAGGUUCGAGUCGAGCGAAAGCGAGACAACGUUGCCGCAGGCAACGGCCCGAAGGGUGAGGAGCGAAGCGACGAAUAAUCCUUCCCCCACCACCA
rnacentral:sRNA from 1 species